CGAUAACACAUGCAAGUCGGACGAGAGUUAUAUUAUAGUUUACUAUAAUAUGCUUUAGUGGCAGACGGGUGAGUAAUAUAUAGGAAUCUACCUAAUAGUAUGGGAUAAUUGUUAGAAAUGACAGCUAAUACCAUAUAUUCCUUACGAGGGAAAGAUUUAUCGCUAUUAGAUGAGCCUAUAUUGGAUUAGCUAGUUGGUAAGGUAAUGGCUUACCAAGGCAGUGAUCUAUAGCUGGUUUGAGAGGAUGAUCAGCCACACUGGAAUUGAGAUACGGUCCAGACUCCUACGGGAGGCAGCAGUGGGGAAUAUUGGGCAAUGGGCGAAAGCCUGACCCAGCUAUGCCGCGUGAGUGAUUAAGGUCUUAGGAUUGUAAAGCUCUUUUAGUAGGGAAGAUAAUGACGGUACCUACAGAAAAAGCCCUGGCUAACUCCGUGCCAGCAGCCGCGGUAAUACGGAGAGGGCUAGCGUUGUUCGGAAUUACUGGGCGUAAAGGGUACGUAGGCGGUUUAGUAAGUUAGAGGUGAAAUCCUGGGGCUUAACCUCAGAAUUGCUUUUAAAACUACUAUACUAGAGAUCGAAAGAGGAUAGUGGAAUUCCUAAUGUAGAGGUAAAAUUCAUAGACAUUAGGAGGAACACCGGUGGCGAAGGCGGCUAUCUGGUUCGAUUCUGACGCUGAUGUACGAAAGCGUGGGGAGCAAACAGGAUUAGAUACCCUGGUAGUCCACGCUGUAAAUGGUGAAUGCUAAAUGUAGGAAUUUUUAUUUCUGUGUUGUAGCUAACGCGUUAAGCAUUCCGCCUGGGGACUACGAUCGCAAGAUUAAAACUCAAAGGAAUUGACGGGGACCCGCACAAGCGGUGGAGCAUGUGGUUUAAUUCGAUGCUACGCGAAAAACCUUACCACUCCUUGACAUGGAGGCUAUCUCCUUCUUAACAGAAGGAUUCAGUUCGGCUGGGCCUCACACAGGUGUUGCAUGGCUGUCGUCAGCUCGUGUCGUGAGAUGUUGGGUUAAGUCCCAUAACGAGCGCAACCCUUAUCCUUUGUUACCAACAGGUCAAGCUGGGUACUUUAAGGAAACUGCCAAUGAUAAAUUGGAGGAAGGAGAGGACGACGUCAAGUCAUCAUGGCCCUUAUGGAGUGGGCUACACACGUGCUACAAUGG
rnacentral:rRNA from 2 species